rnacentral:rRNA from 1 species
UUGCUAAGGCCGAUGGCGACCGGCGCACGGGUGAGUAACACGUAUCCAACCUGCCGAUAACUCGGGGAUAGCCUUUCGAAAGAAAGAUUAAUACCCGAUGGUAUAAUAAAACCGCAUGGUUUAAUUAUUAAAGAAUUUCGGUUAUCGAUGGGGAUGCGUUCCAUUAGGCAGUUGGUGAGGUAACGGCUCACCAAACCUUCGAUGGAUAGGGGUUCUGAGAGGAAGGUCCCCCACAUUGGAACUGAGACACGGUCCAA